UACAGAGACUGCGAGCGUUGUUCGGAGUUACUGGGCGUAAAGGGUGUGUAGGCGGUUGUUUAAGUUUGGUGUGAAAUCUCCCGGCUCAACUGGGAGGGUGCGCCGAAUACUGAAUGACUUGGAGUGCGGGAGAGGUGAGUGGAAUUCCUGGUGUAGCGGUGAAAUGCGUAGAUAUCAGGAGGAACACCGGUGGUGUAGACGGCUCACUGGACCGUAACUGACGCUGAGACACGAAAGCGUGGGUAGCAAACAGG
rnacentral:rRNA from 1 species